UACGUAGGGCGCAAGCGUUGUCCGGAAUUAUUGGGCGUAAAGAGCUCGUAGGCGGUCUGUCGCGUCUGCUGUGAAAACUCAGGGCUUAACCCUGAGCUUGCAGUGGGUACGGGCAGACUAGAGUGCGGUAGGGGAGACUGGAAUUCCUGGUGUAGCGGUGAAAUGCGCAGAUAUCAGGAGGAACACCGGUGGCGAAGGCGGGUCUCUGGGCCGUAACUGACGCU
rnacentral:rRNA from 1 species